UACGUAGGGUGCAAGCGUUAUCCGGAAUUAUUGGGCGUAAAGAGCUCGUAGGCGGUUUGUCGCGUCUGCCGUGAAAGUCCGGGGCUCAACUCCGGAUCUGCGGUGGGUACGGGCAGACUAGAGUGUGGUAGGGGAGACUGGAAUUCCUGGUGUAGCGGUGAAAUGCGCAGAUAUCAGGAGGAACACCAAUGGCGAAGGCAGCUCGCUGGAACGGUACUGACGCUGAGGCGCGAAAGCGUGGGGAGCAAACAGG
rnacentral:rRNA from 1 species